rnacentral:lncRNA from 1 species
CUUCUUGUAUCAAAGCGAAUCCAACGAACCCAUCAUUUGAAUGAUGUAAGGUAAAAACCAGAUCAAGAUCCUAACAUGAUUUAAGCCAUAACUCUACUAUGGAAGUACUUAGUAAUCCUACUUCCUAUUCACUAUAUACUUCCUUCGUCAGCCUUCCUCCAUAGCUACCUUUGAAGGGAAAGCUGGCUAGACCAAGCCUAGUAAUUAAUUGAAUAAGAAGGAAAAAGGCCACUCAGAACACCAGCCCGAUAUGAGUCUGAUUGAACCUUCCCCCCGCCAAGUCACCUACAUGGAUGAAAAAGACUCAGCCAGAGGUCUCACUCUCGAGACUGUAACUGGUUAUGUUGAACCGGC